rnacentral:rRNA from 1 species
CGCCAAAAAGCUAGCCCGCCCUCCAAACUAACAACUAAACAUAAAUAACCCCAAAUACCCCAAACAAAACAAAACAAACCAUUUUCCCAUCCUAGUAUGAGCGACAGAAAAGAUACUCGCGAGCAAUAGAGACAGUACCGCAAGGGAAAGCUGAAAAAGAAAUGAAACAACCCAUUCAAGCCAAAAAAAGUAGAGAUUAAAACUCGUACCUUUUGCAUCAUGUUUUAGCCAGCAAAACUCAAGCAAAGAGCCCUUUAGUUUGACACCCCGAAACUGGACGAGCUACUCCAAGACAGCCUAUUAUAGGGCCAACCCGUCUCUGUGGCAAAAGAGUGGGAAGAGCUUUGAGUAGAAGUGACAGACCUACCGAGCCCAGUUAUAGCUGGUUGCCUGGAAAAUGAAUAGAAGUUCAGCCUCCAAGCUUCCCACACUCAAACAAUCCCUACCAUUAACGAAAACAGGAAACUCAGAGAGUUAUUCAAAGAAGGUACAGCUCCUUUGAAAAAAGAAACAACUUAACCAGGAGGAUAAAGAUCAUAAUUAUCAAGGACAAAUGUUCCAGUGGGCCUAAAAGCAGCCAUCACAAUAGAAAGCGUUAAAGCUCGGACAUAACGCCACCACAACCUUAUAUACUGACAAAAAAAUCUUAAUCCCCUCUCUUUACCAGGCCUAUCCAUGCAACCCAUGUAAGAGAUCCUGCUAAUAUGAGUAAUAAGGAAGUACAAGACUUCCUCCCCGCACAAGUGUACAUCAGAACGGACCCUUCCCACUGACCAAUUACCGGACCCAAAAAAAGAGGGAACUGAACAACAAACCCGCAAACAAGAAGAACACUCAAAAUUGAACUACCGUUAACCCUACACUGGAGUGCCUGCAAGGAAAGACUAAAAGAAAAAGAAGGAACUCGGCAAACACAGGCCUCGCCUGUUUACCAAAAACAUCGCCUCUUGCAAAAACAAAGAAUAAGAGGUCCCGCCUGCCCCGUGACUAUACGUUUAACGGCCGCGGUAUUUUGACCGUGCAAAGGUAGCGCAAUCACUUGUCUUUUAAAUGAAGACCCGUAUGAAUGGCAUAACGAGGGCCUAACUGUCUCCUUUUUCCAGUCAAUGAAAUUAAUCUCCCCGUGCAGAAGCGGGGAUAAAACCAUAAGACGAGAAGACCCUGUGGAGCUUUAGACAAAAGACGGACCUUGCAAAACAACCCUAAACAAAGGACAAAACACCAAAGGAUCCCGCCCGAAUGUCUUUGGUUGGGGCGACCGCGGGGAAAAACAAAACCCCCACGUGGAAUGGGCGAACAUCGCCCAAAACUAAGAGACACCCCUCUAAGAAGCAGAAUAUCUGACCAUAAAUGAUCCGGCACAGCCGAUCAACGGACCGAGUUACCCCAGGGAUAACAGCGCAAUCCCCUCCCAGAGCCCAUAUCGACGAGGGGGUUUACGACCUCGAUGUUGGAUCAGGACAUCCUAACGGUGCAGCCGCUGUUAAGGGUUCGUUUGUUCAACGAUUAAAGUCCUACGUGAUCUGAGUUCAGACCGGAGUAAUCCAGGUCAGUUUCUAUCUAUGACAUGUUCUUUUCUAGUACGAAAGGACCGAAAAGAAGAGGCCUAUGCUUACAGCACGCCUCACCCCCACCUGAUGAAACCAACUAAAUCAGACAAGAGGACAUACCACCACAUAAAGCCCACGAAAAUGGCAA